GUAAACCCAGGCACACAUUUUUUAAAACACACACAAAGAUAUCUUUGGGAAAUGUAUUCGGUAGCAGAUCCCAGCAUCCACAGUCUUCACUUACACAGAUCACUUUAUUUAAUUUGUGCUUACUGGUAAUGUGAAGUAAUCAGAGUUCAUAUCCUUGUGAAAAUUCUCCCCUGAAGGCCAAUUCAUUUGUAAUAAAAACCACAUUUUGAGCAGUGGAAGAGUGCAGCUGCUGGCACUGCUAAGAUAUUCUCAUCUUCCCAAGCUCAUUUCAGCUUUCCAAGCAUUGCGUAUUGUUAUGAAAGAAAUGUUUGCUAAAUUCAGGCUUAAUGGAACAUGAAGCCAGUCAUAUGCAAGCAUCGACUUAUUCCUCUGCUGUCUGCGAAGUUGUGAUCAAGAAAACACUUCUGCUCAUUAGAGAGUUGAUCAGACACAGUGCUUAGCUAUUAACAUUUCUCUGUUCACAUGAAGCUUGCUCAGAUGAAAGAGCAAAACCAACAGAUUGGAAGAACUCAGCUGGGGAAACAUUGUCCUAAGCAUGACGCCCUCUAAGAUACACAACAAACUGACUUCAAACCCAUCCAGCUUUAACACCGGUUGUAGCACGUUUUAAGUCUUUUUGUGGGUAUGAGAUCACUUGAUGCUGAUGUAUCAGAAUCUUCAUUCUAUGUCAGUCUCCAGGACACAAAGCGCGGUGGAGAGGAUGGAGAAUGGAUCUCAAGAGAGAGGUGGGCAUUUUACAGCACAGCUUCCAAAUCAAGUUCACUGUCCACUUGGAUAGUGCACAGAAAUAUUCAGGUUUUUGAAAUAUCCACAUACUUCCUAGUGUCUCUGAUGAAACCACCCAUCAAGAAGAGAACAGGUGAAUAA
rnacentral:lncRNA from 1 species